UACGAAGGGGGCUAGCGUUGCUCGGAAUCACUGGGCGUAAAGCGCACGUAGGCGGACUCUUAAGUCGGUGGUGAAAUCCUGGAGCUCAACUCCAGAACUGCCUUCGAUACUGAGAGUCUUGAGUCCGGGAGAGGUGAGUGGAAUUGCGAGUGUAGAGGUGAAAUUCGUAGAUAUUCGCAAGAACACCAGUGGCGAAGGCGGCUCACUGGCCCGGUACUGACGCUGAGGUGCGAAAGCGUGGGGAGCAAACAGG
rnacentral:rRNA from 1 species